UGGGGAAUAUUGGACAAUGGGCGCAAGCCUGCUCCAGCCAUGCCGCGUGAGUGAUGAAGGCCCUAGGGUUGUAAAGCUCUUUCACCGGUGAAGAUAAUGACGGUAACCGGAGAAGAAGCCCCGGCUAACUUCGUGCCAGCAGCCGCGGUAAUACGAAGGGGGCUAGCGUUGUUCGGAUUUACUGGGCGUAAAGCGCACGUAGGCGGACUAUUAAGUCAGGGGUGAAAUCCCGGGGCUCAACCCCGGAACUGCCUUUGAUACUGGUAGUCUAGAGUUCGAGAGAGGUGGGUGGAAUUCCAAGUGUAGAGGUGAAAUUCGUAGAUAUUCGGGGGAACACCAGUGGCGAAGGCGGCUCACUGGCUCGAUACUGACGCUGAGGUGCGAAAGCGUGGGGAGCAAACAGG
rnacentral:rRNA from 1 species